AUGGGGACGGGGAAAUACCGGACAGUUCGUGAGUUAGUGACCUUGUUUUAGUCACAUUCCCCCAUGUUCAUAUUCUUAUGUGAAACUAGACAAAAAUAGGUCAAGAUGAAGAGAAUCCAUGACAUAUUGGGGCUUAAAGGUUUUACUAGUGUGCAUAACAAUGGCUUGAGUGGUGGCUUAGCACUUUAUUGGCAUGAAUCAUACAUUUUUUUAUAUUGUGGAUAA
rnacentral:rRNA from 1 species